AUGAGAGGCAGGCCUGGUAGCCCAGCACUCAGGAGGCUGAGGCAGGAGGAUCUCUGUGAGUUCCAGGCCAGCCUGGAUCACAUAUCGAGACCUUGUCUCAAAAAGCCAAUGAAAACCAAAAAAGGAGGCGCUCUGACAGGCGGGGCGGUGGCCCCGUUUGCGUGGGUUGGAGUGGCCUGGUCGCAUCAGCACCCGAAGGCGUCUGUCUCAGGACCUGGGCCCCGGACUGCUUUUCUGCGCAGCACCUCAGGGUGCCGGUCCCUCUGCCGGCAGCAGGGCCGUGGGUGCUGCGAGCGAGCAGGCGAUCUCAGGAGGAUCGCUCUGAGGUCAAGGCCAGCCUGGGCUACGUAGCGAGACACUGUCUCAAAACACACACACAAAAAACAAAGCAUCCCCAAUAUCAGAUGCUGAGCUCUGGUUAGACAGAUAUGUCAUGGGAUGGAUAGAAGGGAAAAAGUUUAGUCCUAUGCCUUUAAAAUGAAGAGUUUUACUUGAUUCUCACUUACGGGCUUUGGCUGCAAGUACGUGGAGUCUUAAAGUUGUAAUUCCUCAGUGUGUCUUCAAGCAGUGUGCUAGGUCCCGGCAAACCCACUGCCACGUCGGUUACCCUGGAUGUGCUAAAGCAUUGAUGCUAGAUUGCAGUUUCAUAAUUAAACUGUACAUACUGUGCAUAGAAUGAAUUUUUAUCUUCUGUAAAUUAUUUUUAGAACACAAGUUGGGAAAUGUGGUCUCUGUUCAUUUCAUUUCAUGAAAGCUACCUCCUAGAGUGGCUGCCACAGCAGGAUGAUAAAUCAUGGUUGAUAUACUUUUUUGCAGUGUAAAUAGUCUUGGUUGUACAUUGUCAGUGUAAUUAAAACAGAAUCUUUGUAUAUCAAAAUCAUGUAGUUUGUAUAAAAUGUGGGAGGGGUUUCUUUACGGUGUGUAAUUUUGUAAGGACAACUAUUUACAAGUUUUAAAAACUGCUAUCAUGUUUGUAUAUUUACACAUAUGAUAAAUAUUAAAUCGUAACUUGGUAAGAAAAUCAUAAUUAAAAGUUGUUUUCCCUAACAUUUCAAGUUACUGGAAACUUUUGAUUUCAUUCAUCUAAAAAAAUAGAACAGUAGAUGCAUAAAAUGUGUGGUAAACUGUGCUACACAUAUGGUAUCAUGUACACUAUUGUACUCAGUGUUUUGAAUUAUUAAAGUUUUUAGAAAGCAAUCUAUUUUGCCUUAAAUUAGAGCUAGGUAUAUCAGUGAAUUUACUUAGUAAUAUGUAGUCAACUUAAAGUUGUAAAGAAUAUUAGAAGAAAUGUUGGAAAUGACCAUUAGGAAAUGCUUUUUUUUUUUUUGUACCAGGGAUUGAACUCGGGACCUUGCACUUGCGAGGCAGGCGGCAGAACCACUGAGCUAAAUCCCCGGCCUAGAAAAUGCUAUUUUGAUACUCAUCUAUAAAUAUUUAAACACUGUGUUAGGCAGGCGGGAACCACUGAGCUAAAUCCCCGGCCCAGAAAAUGCUAUUUUGAUACUCAUCUAUAAAUAUUUAAACACUGUGUUGAAAUUUUAGAAGUUUUAUCCUAAGUCUGGACCAUAUCACAGAAAACAGAUUGUGAAAUUGAAGAGAAUACCAUAGAUUAGAUCUUUCUUUAAAACCAAAUGGUUAAAACUUGCAUGAGCCCGGCAUGGCGGCACACACCUGUGAUCCAAUCCUGGUACUAGGGAGGCUGAGGCAGGAGGGCUGUGGGUUCUAGGCCAGCCUGGGCUGCAUAGUGAGACUUUGUGUCAAAAGCAGACAGCCCCUGCCCCCCUGCAUGAUUCUAAACCAGGCCAGCUGCCCGUUGCUGUGUUCUCAGUCCUUGAGUCCUCAUUCUACAAAUGAGAAAGCACAGAGUUUCAUGAAUGAAGAGAAUCCCUAAUCCUACAAAGAAAAUCUCUACCAAAAUCAGUUCCUCUUAAUUCUGGACACAGCGUGGAUUUCAGACUUCAUUCAUGUUUGCAGUUUCUGCCACAGAAUAUAGAAUCACCCCUCACCCCGCCGAGCCCGCCUGGACAGCUCUCCACAGCACAUAGGAAAUCCUGUCCCAUCGUCACCUCCAAGCUUCUGCUUGGAUCAUUCCCAGCGCAAGCCAAGAGCUCCCGCUGCUGCAGCUGAGCUUCAGCUUGUCCAGGGAAGCGCUUCUCAAAGCUGGGUAAUGUGUCACCACAGGACUGACAGCAGCAGCCUUCUCAUUUUUAUUUUAACAAAGUCGGGUCGAUAUGGCCCUUCCUUCCUCUCUUCUCAAAGUACUUGGGACUGAACCCAGUGCCUUUGCACUCAACUGCACCCUUGGAUCUUUUUCAAAAUGUUUUUAAAAAUUUUAAGACAGGGUCCCACUAAGUCCCCCAGGCUUGUCCCACCUUGUCCUCCUGCCUCAGCCUUUCAGAGUGGAUUUUAAAGUAAAAGUCACUCUUACCAAAGGCUACAGAGCUAGCAAAAAUUAUCCUGAAUAGAUCAUGGGAGUGAAGGUUAAUGAGCAGUGAGAAAACAUAUUACUAAGUCAAUUCUCUAAAACCUAAGGGAGAGUUGCCCGGCACAGUGGUGUGAUGCCAGACUUCUGGAGGCUGAGGCAAACUCACUCACCAUGAGUUCGAGCCCAGCCUGGGCUGCGAAGUAAGUUCAACUACAUGGUGAUCUGAACUACAUGGUGAGACCCUAUGUCCAAAAACAAACAAAAGGGGAGAGACGCUCUUGUGAGCUCAUUUGUACAUUUAUGUAUAGUUCUGCCCACCCUGAUGUUGAGAAGGCACCAAUGAGACCAAUGCCAGCACCAGGUGCCUGCCUCGGCCUGCGGGCUCCAGUGUCGAUGCAGGCGAUGCCAUUGUUGGUCACGGUGAGCAGGAAACAUCAAAGACAGGGCGUAGGUAUAGGUUGUCUACUAAAAUAUCUUGAGGAAAGGAAGUUGGACAUUAUAGAUCCAAGAGGUUAAAGUAGGCAAGUUUUGGGAUUUAAUGUGACUCAGUUUACCCCCACUAUCAGUUCCGGAGCUGGAAGCAUUGAGGAUUAAUGAGGUAACAUGGCUGAGGCAGAUUAUUUUCCAAUUUUUACAGAGGAGGGAAGCUUGGCAAGAUCAAACAGCUUCUUUAGGGAAAUUUAUCAAAUAAAAGCACUGACUCAAAUCCAAGCCUGUUUAUGCUACAACCUGUGUUUUUCUGCUGCACCUCACUUAGGUGUAUGUGCUUCACAAACUUUUUUAUUUUCAGUACUGGGAAUCAAACUCCCAGGGCUUUUGCCCUGAGCUAAAUCCCUGGCAAUUUAUUUUAAAUUUUGAGACAGGGUCUCAAGUUGCCCCGAAUGGGUUCAAGUUUACAAUCCUCCUGCCUCAGCCUCAGUGUGCUGAGAUCAAGGCAUGCACCAACAAACCCUGCUACAAGCUCCUCUCCGGGUGAAGCCUCAAAGCAGCCCAGGUCCUUUUGAUGUUGACGAUGACCCUAUAGAUAGAUGUUCAGAUGAAAGGUUUUAACCAGGUUGGUCCAUGCUGAGCAAUGCAUAAAAUGAAAAACGACUGUCAGUUUUCUUUCAUCAGUUUUGUUACUGUUGGAUUGCUCCAGUUUCCUUCCAUUUCCAUUGUGUUACACAAAUUUUAAUAAAAUGCUCCGUUAAGUAUUUCUUAGGCAUGUCCUUUUUCUUUCUCUGGUGCUGAGGAUUGAACCCAAGGCUGAGCACACGCUAGGCAAGCGCUCUACCACUGAGCUACACCCUCAACUAGAGUGCCUUACUUCAUGAAAGCUUCUGCCUUCUGAAUCAUCUCUGGUUGCUAUUGUUUCUACAGUAGCUAAUUGUCCUAGGCCAAAUUUGGCAGAUCUAGAUUUCAUCAAAGAUUCUGUAUCACUCUUUGGUCAGUAACAAGGUCUGUGUGCCAUUUUAGCCAUUGCAGUGGCGGUUAAGAGUAGGAAAGAUUAUUGGGGAAUAGGAAUAUGGAACAAAAGUAGCUCCUGAGAGACAGGAGGGGCCUUGAAUGGGUUGCCAAUGGGCCCACUUCUCAAAGGACGUGUUUUUGUUUUUUGUUUUUUGGUACCGGGAAUCAAACUCAGGUCCUUGUGCUUGCGAGGCAGGCGGCGGCACCACUGAGCUAAAUCCCCAGCCCCUCAAAGGAUGUUUUAUAGAGUAAAGUCCCCAGGGAUUUAGCUCAGCGGUGCCUUGCCUGCCUGGCAAGUGCAAGGUCCUGAAUUCGAUCCCAGGUACCGGGGGGUGGGUACAAUGUGGGUAAAAACUAUAAUGAACCAAUAAAAUUACAAGUACAGUCACUUAGGUAGUCUUGUCCCAAUAGUAAGGAGGGCAUAUGGAUGAUGUCAUUAACCUUGGUUGAUGAGAUAAUGGUCUAUCUAUAUGGGAAAGCCGAAAGGGUGGUGCCAAAGAUCUCCAGCUUUUUUUUUUUUGGUACUGGGGAUCAAACUCAGGACCUUUCCCUUGCGAGGCAGGCGCUGGAACCACUGAGCUGAAUCCCCCGCCCUUCCAGCUUCUGUUCAUCCCUUGGGGAAGCAUGCAAAUCUGGCCAAUGUGAC
rnacentral:lncRNA from 1 species